UGAAAUUUAUUAAUGGGUCAAAGUCCUAAAUGGACAAAGCCCAACAAACUAUAAAACAUAAAAGUCUAAGAAAAAAAACCAACACUUUACAACCGUAAGUCCAAAGAGGAAAACCGUAGAAGAAAUGCAAGAUGGCAACACCACCACGUGUUCGAUCUCCCGGCGAUCAAUGAAAACGCGUCAGGCCGAGGGGCAGCUUGCUUCCUCAGGAGAAAACGAGGUGAUACGAGAGAAUCUGCCGUCAACAGCGGCCGAUGAUGAAGUAUCGCUCACACAGAGCCAUCUUUUCAACGAACCUAGUCGCAUACCGAAUCAACACUUCAAAACUGGAAUCAAUGAUCUUCAAUCCAACCUACAGCUUCUGAUUUUCCUUCAUUAAUCAGACAUCUUUAAAGAUGAAAAUAAAUCUGAAGAUGAAUCAACCCUAAUCAAGAGAAAAGGGAUCGAUCAGAGGCGAGAGAGGAGAGACGGUUGAGCGAUGAAGCUGUGAAAAACACUGAUUAAAGAAAUUGGGAGAACUCUGACGAAGAAAAGUCAGAAGAGUGACGCAGAGACGAAAGGAGAACGCUGGAAACAGAGUCGGCAAACCACCAAGAAAAGAUGCGUCUCCGGAAACAGAGACCCGGUCGGAGAAUCUAAAACCGGUUGAAAGAUACCAAAAACAAACCGGCGAAAAAGAAAAGCUUCAUUUCAUCUAUAUCUCCAUGAAAGAUGUCAGUGAGGGAACAGAGAAGAGAGAGAAGUUUUUCAGUUAGCAAUCUUCAUAUAACUAAACCUAUUGUGUUCUGAUAAUAAGUUAUUAACAAUACCAUACGAAGAUUACUCAGCAUAAACUUGAAAGAGAAAAAUCUUAGUCGUCUC
rnacentral:lncRNA from 1 species